rnacentral:rRNA from 1 species
UACGGAGGAUCCAAGCGUUAUCCGGAAUUACUGGGCGUAAAGAGUUGCGUAGGUGGCAUGGUAAGUUGAUAGUGAAAUCCUGGGGCUCAACCCCUUACCCAUUAUCAAAACUGCCAAGCUAGAGGACAAGAGAGGUCACUGGAAUUCCUAGUGUAGGAGUGAAAUCCGUAGAUAUUAGGAGGAACACCGAUGGCGUAGGCAGGUGACUGGCUUGUUCCUGACACUAAGGCACGAAAGCGUGGGGAGCGAACGG